UACGUAGGGGGCAAGCGUUGUCCGGAUUUAUUGGGCGUAAAGAGCGUGUUAGGCGGCCAGACAAGUCUGCUGUGAAAACUCGAGGCUCAACCUCGAGCUGUCGGUGGAAACUGUCUGGCUAGAGUCCGGAAGAGGAGAGUGGAAUUCCUGGUGUAGCGGUGGAAUGCGCAGAUAUCAGGAGGAACACCGAUAGCGAAGGCAGCUCGCUGGGACGGGUACUGAGCUAAGACGCGAA
rnacentral:rRNA from 1 species